AUCCAACUGACGAAUCCCGAAUAGGACGAAACGUGCGUCCUGUAU
rnacentral:hammerhead_ribozyme from 1 species